rnacentral:lncRNA from 1 species
AUGACGUCAUGAAUACAGACAUUCCAAACAGGCCCCCAGGAUAGGCAUAUACUUCCGCAAUCCACCCGUGCUCAGAGGCCAAGCCUGUUUUGCAGUUGUUUUAGCUGGGAGUGGACGGGGGUCCGUCAUUUCAUGCGACCCAGAAGUAGAUAUUGCCGUCCACUCCAAUACAAGUUGGGAACAGGAUUGUGUCUCCGCAAGAAAUGUCUGGAUAUCAAUCAAAGGCUCAUAAUUAUAUUUCUACCCUGUUCUAAAAAAAUGUAAGUUUUUUCUUUUGAAAACGCCUCCUCAAGCGUUUUAUUAGCAGUUUACGUUGGGUACGCAGCUGAAAGGAGCCGUACUGAAACAAACGGCUCCAUGCUAUGGACAUAUUUUGAAGUGCACGGCUCCAUUAACUUCCGAAUUAAAUUAAAUUCCGAAUUAACUUCCAUUAACUCCAUUAACUUCCAAAGUCUGAGAUUUGUCCUUUACUUGACAUGAAUGGCGUUGAACACGGAUAUAUAACACACAUAUCAUUGAAAUAGCUGGAACAGGCACGCACGUAUUGAUUACCUGAAUGAUUAUGGGAGACCUACGUAAUUUUCAUAAUAUUGUAAAUUGUCUGAUAUUAACAUUUCAGGUAGGUAUUUCAUUUUCAUUUGCUUGUUUAGCUAUGUAUGACAGGGUUAUGGUUAGCUAUGUAUCACAGUUGACAAUGUUGGUGUAUUACAAUUCAAUAUUUGGGUAGGCUACUCCAACUUCGUUGCUGGUCGAUAUGUAAACAUUUACUUUUAUAGAAAUUAUUGAUUGCAUUCUUCGUAAAAUAGUUAGUUGGAAGGAAUCUGGCCUACAUACGUUUACUAUGUUACUAUGGUAUUAUAUGGAGCAAUCUUACAUAUUUAUGAAGUUUCCAGAUCAAUAAAGUUCUAUCUCUUUUUAUUUGAACUGCCUGUAUGUCCUCUUGAUUAUAGUAUUACAGUGUGUACCUUGGUUAUCAGCUAUCAUAGAAUGGUGUCCAAAUGGCUGCAUGUGUAAGAAAUAGGAUUUGAACCAAGUGUUACAAUAUAAAAAGCUUUUAUUAAAAGACCCCCCACCCCAAAUUUUAACCAAACACUUUUUUUGGCUGUUUGACUGGGGCAGAAGAGUGGAAGGGGAAACAAAGACAGGUAGCCUAAGAAGUAAGGAAAGGAAUGAGAGGAAGAACAGUGAAAUGAAUGAACAGUGUGAUAAACGCAAACGAUUACCAAAAAGGUUAUAAUUACUGAUUUAUCAAAUACGCAGAGAAGAGCAUCAUCGAAUAAAGAUUAAGGACCUGGAUUAUAUCUUACAGUAUUGAAAACUGUUGAAAUUACAAUUCAGAGUGGAGAAGG